rnacentral:rRNA from 1 species
UGAAAUUGCGAAUGGCUCAUUAUAUCAGUUAUAGUUUAUUUGAGAAAUUUUAUUAAUGGGAUAACGGUAGUAAUUUUAGAGUUAAUCCAGGAUAAUUCCUACCCUGGAAAGGUGUAUUUUUUAGAGGAAAACCAUAUUUUUGCAGGUGAAUCAUAAUAAUUAAUCGAAUCGUAUGGUUGCUAACGAUAAAUCAUUCAAGUUUCUGCCCUAUCAGCUUUCGAUGGUAGUGUAUUGGACUACCAUGGCAGUAACGGGUAACGAAGAAUUUGGGUUCGAUUUCGGAGAGGGAGCCUGAGAAAUGGCUACCACAUCCAAGGAAGGCAGCAGGCGCGUAAAUUACCCAAUCCUAAUUCAGGGAGGUAGUGACAAUAAAUAAAAUAUAGAACAUUUGUUUUAUUAUGAAUGAGAACAAUUUAAAAUACUUAUCGAGGAACAAUGGAGGGCAAGUUGG